UACGGAGGGGGCUAGCGUUGUUCGGAAUUACUGGGCGUAAAGCGCACGUAGGCGGCUUUGCAAGUCAGAGGUGAAAGCCCGGGGCUCAACCCCGGAAUUGCCUUUGAGACUGCAUCGCUAGAAUUGUGGAGAGGUAAGUGGAAUUCCGAGUGUAGAGGUGAAAUUCGUAGAUAUUCGGAAGAACACCAGUGGCGAAGGCGACUUACUGGACACAUAUUGACGCUGAGGUGCGAAAGCGUGGGUAGCAAACAGG
rnacentral:rRNA from 1 species